AUGAACCACGAGAUACCGGCUCAGACGUCGCCCGGUCUAACAAGGUCUGCGUUAGGUGUUGGGGAACCAGAGCACCUUGGCAAGAAGUGGGCUACUGGAACAAGAAAGAAAUGGCUGAGAUGCGAGAACAAGGCUCUGUUGGAAUGCUACUACUCAAGUAACCCUAGUCAGAGGGGUUACAUGAAAAGAAUGUGCGGUGAAUGGGAACGGAGAAACCCACAUUCAAGGCUGACUGCGAAGCAACUAGUAGCUCAGUGUUCCAACAUCCACAAACGGCAACUGCUAUCACAACUUGAGAUUGACGGGAUACAACACAAAUGCUACGGCAAGGGGGAGCCAGGACGCCAGGUCAGAGGGGAGGUUUCACCAUCUCCCCAAGCGGAAAUUGGGUACGAAGCCCCAAUGAGCACAGAUACGCUGAACGAGGCAGCGACUGACCUGAAAGAUAAGAUCAUGGCGAGAUUAAACAGGCAACCCCGACAACCACUACAACGAAUAAGUGAAGUACCAUCAGAAAGUCUCAUGGAAGAUGUGAAUGCAGCAUUGAGAGUGAUCCCUACCACAACAAUCACAGAAACCAAUGACCUGAUAUACGCUUCAGCAUCAGUGAUCCUAGAGGUGCUUGGCUAUAAGAGCAACCAUGGGAGCCAUGAGAAACAAUACCCACCAUGGAAACGAAGGUUGGAGGCAAAAAUCAAGGCAGCUCGGAGGGAAGUGAGCCAAAUGACAGAGGCCCAGAGAGGUGCAAUGAAAAGACCGAUGCCCAAGAGGUACAGCCAGAUGACCAUACCUGAAGCACUCGAAACUGCCAAGCAAAGGCUACAAGCCUUGGCCAGCCGCCUAAAGAGAUACACCAGAGAUAACGAAGCCAGACGAAUAAACCGGCUGUUCGCAACACAACCUGCGAAAGUGUACUCUCAAUGGCAGGGUAAUAACAACAGAGCAGACCCACCAAGGCUGGAAACUGAACAGUACUGGAAGGGUAUAUGGGAAAGGGAGGCAUCACACAACAGUGAUGCACAGUGGCUGGUGGAUCUGAGGGAAGACCACAGCAACCUCCCUGAACAGAAUCCAGUGACUAUCACAGUGGCAGACAUCCAACAUAGAGUCUCAGGUAUGAAAAACUGGACAGCACCUGGCCCUGACAUGAUCCACGCCUACUGGCUAAAGAAGCUCACUGCAAUCCAUGAGCGCCUGGCAGCACAAAUGAACCAGCUGCUAAGGGAUGGGACUCACCCUGAAUGGCUAACCGAAGGGCGAACGAUCCUGAUAAUGAAGGAUCCCUCAAAGGGCACAGUCCCAUCCAACUACCGGCCAAUAACCUGUCUCUCCACAACAUGGAAGCUCAUGUCAGGCAUCAUCGCAGCUAAGAUAAGUGGGCACAUGAGUCAAUACAUGAGCGAAGCACAUAAGGGCAUUGGUAAGGAUACCAGAGGAGCCAAACACCAACUCCUGGUAGACAGAACAGUCGCCCAAGACUGCAGAAUGCGACACACCAACCUGUGCACAGCCUGGACUCAAUGCCACACACAUGGAUCACUGAAUGCUUGGAGCUGUACAACAUCAACAGAACUCUAA
ensembl:lncRNA